rnacentral:RNase_P_RNA from 1 species
GCUUGUCGCUGGCAUCCAUGAGAUGCGAGAGGAAAGUCCGGGCAGCAUAGGGCGCCCCACUUCUGAAAAUGGAAGCUGUUGGCGACAGCAGGUUAGGACAGAAGAAAACAACCGCCUUCCUGAUGGGAGGCAAGGGUGAGAAGGUGGUGUAAGAGACCACCAGCCAGUGGGUGAUCACUGGGCUGUGUCCACUGGGGGCUGCAAGUUCGCGUAAACCGUCGCCCGAGGGUUGCCCGCCCGAUUUGCGAUGGAGGGUAGAACGCUUGAGCCGAGGGGUGACCCGAGGCGUAGAUAAAUGACAAGCAUUGGACUUUUGGACAAUACAGAACCCGGCUUAUAGGAGGUCU